ensembl:lncRNA
CUGACAUCUCAGAGAAAUGGUUCAAAAGACACCUACCAAUGUUCAACACAGCAUUCAUCCGCUCCAAUCAACAAUAACAUUUGAACAGGGAAAACACCAAUCACAUUUAACGUUCGAUCACAAAUCACAUUACACACAUAUUAUAACACUCGGACAGAAAGACACUCUUUUUCGUCCUUCCUGAACAGGGGUAUGUGCAUCGAAUGCACAGCGGUGCAAUGUCCCUUCCAGUGCAGUGCGUGUGUGUGUGUGUGUGGGGGCGUAUGCGUGUGUGUGCGUGUGUGUGUGUACCGGCGCAGCGUUAGUUCGUUCAUUCACAGUUCUGUUCGGGCUGCGCACGGUGUGUCAUCUGUUUCAGUGUAAAUGGUUAUGUGGGGUGCAUAGGUUACCAAUACCACAGCAGAGAUCGCACUUCGGGAUGUGUGAUGGCUGGCAGGGCAAACCUCUCCCGAAACGUCCACGGACCUUGGCAGCUCUAGGCAACCGCGUAGGACAGCGCCCUUCCUCGCAACAAUCACCUGGAGGGCCUCUCUCCCCGUCGUUUUCACUGGCGUCCAGACUCAGCGAACAACAAACGCCCAAAACCGCCGCACCACUCUCAGCGACCGACCCGACGCAAAACCGCACCAAACCCAACCUAGUAAUAAACUGAACUUACAAAAACAAAACAAACAAAACCAGCGUGUUUGCACAAUUUCGGGGUCUUUCACACUCCUGCGCCCCUCUCUCCGCGCCUUUUUCCUCUCCCCUCCCCUUUUCUGUGCCCGUCAUUCGUCUUAAAGGCGCAGUCUAUUUGUACCCCGUUACAUAUGUCCUGCUGUGAUGAUCUAAAAGCAGGUGGGGAAAGCAGGGGCUUGUGGAGGACUCCUUUUUUUUCCUUUUUCUUAGCCCUAUACAUUGGAACAGUACAAGAGUAUGAACAACAACAGUUUUGUAAGACUGCAAACUUGCCAAUCACAAAAUGUCUUUAUGUGAGUGAUAAUGCAUGGCCAUCUGUAAUCAGACCUUGUAUGCUUCUCCCCCUCAUCUGCAGGCACAGUUUCUUUCAGCUUUGAGGAAGGGCUGCAUUAGAAAAGAAAUCACUCAAUAAGCAUGCAUUGUUUUGUGUAGCUGAUGGUUUUCAUAGUAUAGAUUACUGCACAGUGCUUACAUUCUCCUUCUUUUACCCCUUUCAUCAUGUGAUGUCAGGGUGCUCCUGGUUUGGGCUUUUUUCAGGUUCAUACGCGCUGCAUCAUAAUUGGCUGUUGAAGACAACAAUGAAGUGAGUAAAGCUUUUAAAGCCUAAGGGGAAAAAAGUGGUACAUCCUACUUUUGUCUGUCUCACCAAAGGUUUUCACCACCUCCACAAAAAACUCUCCCCAGGUCUCAUCUGGCAUAGCGCUUUGGAUGACUGCAACUUUCGUCCCCUUGGUGUCUUUAUGCGGUGGCCAAAAAGACACCUUGCCAUCCAAACUUAGCCACGAGCAAGGCACAACCUCCACCUCGUUUGACUCGGUUCCCAACCACAGCUGUCCCCAGUGCAGUUGAAUCAAUGGGGUGGUUGAAAAAUGGACGUUGGUCUAAAUAUUGCCUCGCCACAAAAGACGUACCACCAAGUGUCCUGCUAAUUGCCUCUAUUUUAAAAGUGGCACCACCACACGAAACUGUGUUGUUCCCAUCCUUUGUGGACAGGGUAAAUCUAUCAGUGGCGUACUGUGUUGUUGAGGGUGAACUUUGGUUAUGGGAAGAUGGACAGACUGGGUUGAUGCUUGAUUUUUCCGUUAAUCGUUUAACAAUUUGUUGUAAUGUCUGGUUUGGCUUUCUAAUUAGUUUCUUUAAUUUAUAUAAGAAAUUUUCGAAGGGAAAGGCUGAAAUAUGGGGUAGUGGGCCAUAUUUUCUAACAUCACUUGCCAGGUGGAUCAAGCUGUGGACGUUAUACACCAGAAAGUCCCCAUAGAUGGCGUGAAAAUUCUGAACGAACACAACCAGGAGAUUUUCCGCAUAGUCACAAUAACGGUGGUGGAGACGGGGGGAACAUAAAAUUGUAAUUGCUACGUGGAGUAACAGAAAAUGUUGAUACAUGUGUUUUGGUAGGUUUUUUUUUAAUGCAAUGGGGCCAGUGUAUAGUAAAAAAGUCCUAAAUUCAGUGGCCUUCCACCGAUCAACCUCACGGAGGGACCUUCUCUUGCGUCCAAACUCCUUUGGCAGCCUCUUGCCCAAUUUGAUUAAGUUCUCCGAAAUAAUGCAGAUGGAUUGACUCCCAAUGCGGGUUGGAAGGGGCCCUCUCUGCCACAGCCAGAUCAACUUUCUCAUCACUCCUAGGCACACCAGGUGCAUAAAGUCCAGCACAAAUUGGGUCACCAAGCCUACAUCUAGGUGUUGUAAUGGACUGUCGCCCUCUUUGUGAUGUUCCUGGUUGACUUUUGUGGCAAAACUGUCA